rnacentral:ncRNA from 1 species
CGGCACUCUGGAGACGCCCGCCGAGCGGCGGGGGCCGAAGGUGAAAGCCCCGGGCACCGGGGCGAAGCUCUCAGGCAAAAGGACAGAGCA